UUUCUGUCUUUUUUCUAUUUUUCUUCUUCAUCUUCUAUUUCUUUUCUUCUUCCUCUCCACUAUACCUAAAAUUCAGAAAAGGGGAGAGAUUCAUAAAAUUUGAGAAACUACAUCUUCGAUUCGUCUUCUUCUUCCUCCCAACUCAAACACCUCCUCCUGCUCCUUCCCCAAUCAGUGAUGUGAAAACGGACAAAAAUAACGAUAUUUUGCUGCCGAAAGCACAACUUCCGGGUGCUUUGCCUCAGGGCCGGCCCUCUCCCAUCGUCGUCCCAAAAGUUCUCUUGCGAGCAAAGCUUUGAACCUCAAGUACUAUAGAUGCAAUGCCAGGGGAGAUGUGAAUGGAUUUAUGUCGUCGUAGUAGUCGUGCUCACAAUAAGGUAAAAUACACAUAUGACGACCUAAGCUUUGAUGAUUCUCCUAGUGACUUCGUUGUUCCUCUCCGAGAGAACGUUGAGAAUGAGAACCCCAACCGCUACAGAAUCAGUGAGAAACCCUUGAGGACGAACCCCGAAGGGUGGUUCCUACUGUAGUGCCUGGUAUUCCCUUUCCCAUGGGUGAUCGAGCUGGUGAGGCUGAUAUUCUUCAGCCUGCCGUAACUUCCCCGUUUUCACCCCUUGCUGAUAAUUCUCAUUUUACUCGAGACGAUGCUUGAAUGCUCCCGAAGUUGUCGAAAACCAGAAAGGCAUGGAUCCGUCGUCCACCUCCAAUAUUGUUCCAGUUCCUCCAAAUUCGGCCCCGCGAAUCCUUGAACAAUGCAAGGAAAACCUAAAAAGAGGAAAGCCGCCGACUCUGUUUCUGCACCUUGAAGAUCCGUUUACAAAUCAGGCCAUGAGUAGUGGCUCUCACACGGUGUCACAGGCAGAGGAUGAGCACAACCCAUGCUCUCACAGUACUUCAUGGACCGAUCGUGAACUUGAAAAGGGGAAAGAAAUUCUGGCACUCAGAACCAAGGUCCACGAGUUGAAGAAUACCGCGGAAGACCAGAAGGAAGAAAUAUCUCGCAAUAAGAAGGACAUCCUUUCUUGUCAGAAGGAUUUACAAUCCACCUCUCUCGAGUGCAGUGAGUCUAGAAAAAAAACCUCUGAACUUGAGUCGCGUCUUCUAGAUAAAUCUAAUGAACUUUCCCGAGUGUAUCAGGAACUGCAGUUUUCAAAAUUUCGAGACAAUAAGCUAGAUCGAAUCAAGAACGCUCUGUCGAUAGCCUUAGUUGAUUCCAACAUGCUCCCUGGAAUAUAGGAAAUGCAUGAUGUAUUGCAAACUGACUUUUGAUGUCUGCAAC